AUACGGAGGGUGCAAGCGUUACUCGGAAUCACUGGGCGUAAAGCGCGCGCAGGCGGCUAUUUAAGUUGGAUGUGAAAGCCUACGGCUCAACCGUAGAACUGCAUCAAAAACUAUUUAGCUAGAGUGUGGGAGAGGAAGAUGGAAUUAGUUGUGUAGGGGUAAAAUCCGUAGAGAUAACUAGGAAUACCAAAAGCGAAGGCAAUCUUCUGGAACACUACUGACGCUGAGGCGCGAAAGCGUGGGGAGCAAACGGGAUUAGAAACCCCAGUAGUCC
rnacentral:rRNA from 1 species